GCAUACGUGUAGAUUUAUUCAAUCUGGGUCGGUUUAGAUUAUUUAGGUCUUUCCAGCAGAAACAAACUACCUUAAAGUUAACCCAAAGGAAAACAACGCAAGAACACGCGGCAAUACCUCAUUGUAUUAAAUUGGGGAAAGAGCCAAAUAAUCCGCCACCUGACUAUCGUGCUAGAUAACCACAAUCUGGUGAUGUUAGAAAACAUGUUGACACUUUUGCAAAAAACACAAUUAUUAUGCAUCUUAGGCCCAAUUUUGCAGGUGGUGGGAAAGCGAAUUUUAAAAGUUUGUGAGUGCUUUUUGGCUUAAUUUAUGAUCUUUAAUCGAUAAGCAUUGAAAUAAGGACACUAAUCGUGGUACUUUUACUGAAUUUCCUGACAAGCGCUUUUUCCGUUUUUCGAAACUCCUUUGAUUUACAUUUAGAAAAAUUAACCUCACUUUUGCAACUGAAAAAUUCAAACAACACCAUCGCCAGCCGCUUCAGCUCACACCAAUGGCGCGUAUUGAGGACAUAGAUAAAAAGGAUUGAGAUUGAAAACUUGAUAUUCCUUUCUAAAUAAGUUAUUCAGCAUUUCUAUUACAUCACACUCCGGCUGUUUACUCUGUAGAUUAAGUCCCCACAGUAAGCGGGUGCAAAAAUCGUUAAAUAGAUAUCAGAUACUUACCUUUAGUUGUCAAGUAUCUGCUUUACUUUAUAAACGAAUAUCUGGAUACAAAAAAAAUUUGUUUGUAUGGCUAAUUUACGUUGUAGUACGUCACAUUGAGUAUCAAGACACUGGCUGCUCAGCUGGUUUAAUUGUAUACUGUGCCUACAUCUAGCGGGAUAACCUGGAAUGUUCCGAGCCGAUACGAUUUUGACGCAAAACCUAAACUAAUGAACUGUAGACAGUGAUGCCAUACUAGGGCUUUUUCUCAAUUAGUCAUUUGUUAUAAUUAUCUAGGGAUUUUCAAAAUUGUUCGAUUAUUGCACAAAAAUUAAUUUUGGGAGAAAAUAUUAAAACAUCUGACUACAGAAAGGCAACAAGCAGAGAGGAACCCCAAUUUGUUUUAAGAAAUAUCAAUUACGAGAAGAUUACAAAUUGAAGCGAAAUUACGAGUUCCAUUUUUUAAUAUUUUUUAAAUGUAAUAUACCGUUUACCAUAAUAUUUUUUGUCCCACUUAUCAUUUUUCUUUGAAUGUCUAGGGAAAACUAGGGAUUUUAAGGGACCAUCUGGGAAUUUUGAUUUUACAGAUCUUUCAUCACUGUAGAAUUUGACAUAAUUAUUCUUAAAUCUAAUCGCCUAAAAACCUUCGAAAGUAAAGUAAUAUGUUUUGUGGCGAACUCUAUCCGCCACUUCUCAAUUAGCAGCUCCAACCGAAACGCCAGCUAUAUCUCAUCGCAUAACAUCUGUGGCGUUUCGAUUCAAAUAGAACUUUCAACCUAUGUUCCGUAACCGGCGUCUAAGGCAGGGCCUACCUAAGCCUUACUGACGAGUCCAAUAGGUAGGCCCGGGACGAAACGCAUGGUGCUUCAACGCGCCAUAGUUUAUUUACGUUAACCAUACAGUAGAAUAAAUAUUCCGUAAAUGCACUGGUACAUUGGUGUUAGGCUAUCAUUUGAAAUAACUGUAAGAAACGUUUUUUUGGUCCAACAUUACUUCAGAUAAGUAGGUAUAAGAUGCAUCUAAUUUUUACCCUGUAAGACACAAAUCCUCCAAUUAACAAAAAAAAUAUAAGAGAACAGAAGCCAUGAACUGUAUUCAAAUUAU